rnacentral:lncRNA from 1 species
ACAAAGUCAAUUAUAUAAGGUAAUACAAGGAACUAAUGAACCUUACGUGAAUUUGUAGAUAGGCUUAUACAAACAGCUACCAGAGUCUUUGGGGAUGCAGAACAAGUGAUGCCAUUGGUGAAACAGCUAGCCUAUGAACGAGCCAAUAGAUGGUGUAGGGAGGCCAUUAGACCAUGGAAACAUGGAGAUUUAAACACAUAUAUUAAAUUAUGUAGACAUUAAUGAACAAGGGCAAGUUUUGGCAGCUGCAGUACAACAGGCUUUAGGUGCCAGGCCAAAAACAUGCUACAAUUGUGGACAAAUAGGACAUUUUAAAAGGAGUUGCCCCAUAGGAGGAGGGUUUAACAAAACUGGGUAUCAAAGGGGUAGAAUACCAGGUAUUUGCCCACGAUGCCAUAGAGGGAGACAUUUGGCUUAUGAGUGCCGUUCUCAGACUACUGUAGAGGGUACUCCAUUGUCAAGAAACAGACAAGGAUCAGGUGUUUACCCACGAUAUUGUGGAGGAAAACAUUGGACUCCAGGCCCAAAAAACAUGCAGGGGGGCCCAAUGCUCUGGGGCCCACAACCACAAAUAUACAGGGCAUUGGAGGAACCCAGCAACACCAUCAGGUUAGUGCCCAGGACACAUUAUCCAUUAGAUCCCUCAUUAGACAAGCCAUAGGGAGCACAGAGUUGGACAUCUGCACCUCUGCCAGAGUAGUACUAACUCCAGAGAUGGGAGUUCAAAUCAUUCUCAUAGGGGUAAAAGGACCUCUUCCCCAAGGAACAGUAGGCUUAUUAUUAGGACGUAGUUCUACUCUAAAAGGACUUAUGAAAAGUCCUGGGGUAAUUGAUCCCAAUUUUUAAGGGGAAAUAAAAAUUAUAGCAGUUCUUCAAGGGGUAUAUCUGUAAUUUCACCAGGAGAUAGAAUUGCAAAGUUAUUAAUAAUACACAGCCUACAUGAUAAAUUUUCCAAUUGUACUGUAGAAAGAGGUUCCAGGGGAUUAGGCUCCACAGGUGUAGAUUGGGCUAUGCUUUCUUUAAAUUUAGAUUCUCGCCCCAUGAUAAAACUAAAUAUUCAAGGACAUGAAUUUAAUGGGCUACUGGAUACAGGUGCAGAUGUUAGCAUUAUCUCCCAUCAAGAAUGGCCAAAACAUUGGCCAUUAUAACAAGCCACUCAAAUGCUUCGAGGCCUAGGAGUGGUGACUAAUCCCCAUAGAAGUGUGAUGGUAUUAGAUUGGAAGGAUCCUGAAGGAUGUGAAGGAACUAUACAGCCAUAUGUAUUGGAUCAUCUUCUUAUAAAUUUAUGGGGACGAGAUGUUCUAGAUCAAUUAAGAUUAACAUUGACAAAUAACAUCAAUUCAAAUGUGCCCACUAUUAUGGCUAGACAAGGUUUUAGGAAAGAAAAAGUAUUAGGAGAACAAGG